UUAUUGUUAUGUGUAGCAGACGGUCUUUUCUUGUUGUACCUUAACCAACAUCUCUGGCAAGUCUAGCAUUCUUACCCUGCCGUCACUAGUCUUUUUUGAAAUUCCUCUCUCUCUUGUUUUUUUUCUAGGAAGGAGUAAGGACUAUUUAUGUUACUCCUCCCUUCUCUCUUCUUUAUGCUGAAUCAACUCUUUCAUCUGUUUCUUCUUCCUUCUUUCUGCUAAUCAAAAUCCAUCCUUGGACCUCAUCCUUCUACCCUUUUUUAAGAAACCUUCUACAACUAUUGUAGAAGGACAACAUUUUCUCUUGAGGAUAUACGCAAAGCUCUUAUGUCUUAGUGAGGGAACAACAAUAGGUUUAUCAUCUCGCGUAUCUGUGACAAUCAUUUUAAGAUCAGUUUUGAAAAACAUGAAUCUAAAUCUUGGAUAAAUAUGAUUAAUUACUGGUUCAUAUAUGGUGAUGUUAUAACUGUCACUUCUUGGUACCCCUCUAUUUAUAUCCCAUGCCGCGGUCUUCGUUUCAUAACAACUUGGUUCUCAGUCCAUGAUCUCCAGCCAUAUAUGCAAAACGAAAUAGUAGUUUCCCAAAUAGCUUCUAAGGUAGGAUUAAUAUCGUGCAAGAGGCCAGUUAGUUGCAUUCCCUUAGAGGAUGGCACAAUAAGAAUAAAGGCAAUGAUAAACAUAGAGAGACCCUUAGUGAAACAAGUUAUAGCAUCAGUUGGUGGAUCUCCUAGAAUCAGUGUUAACUUUAGUUUCCAUAACCUUUCGUAUAAGUUUUGUAUCUAUUGCUUCCAAUUCGCACACCGGAUCGACCAUUGCCCCAUCCUCCAUGAUGGUGUGCUCGACGAUAUUUAUGACCCCAGCCUUCAAUCUCCUGAGGUAGAAGAAGACCCAGACGCUUAGUUUCAUGGUCACUUGGACCCUAGCUUAAAGGUGGAUUUUUUUUGAGAGUCUCUCUAUUCAUGAAAAUGUAGUAAUGUCAAGCCCCUUUAACUCCUCUAAUCUUGUUCUCUAGGGGGACCUAUUUCUUUCAUGCUCUAGUGCUUCUUACUUCCAUGAUGCUCCUGCAUCUCCCUCUAUUCUUGGUAAACGCGAUCACAGCUCCGAAAGCUUUAGCAGUUCCUCUUUCUCUCUGCUUAAAAGAUUAUGCUGUGAGCUAGGUGAAACUUCAUCUAAUGUUUGUUCUAGUGGUCUUUGCAUUCGUGAAGGCCCUUUUCCUCUUAUGGGUCUGAUCCGCUCUCCGAUCCGACCCACUUAUCCCUCGGCUUCUUUUCGUCUUCGGGUUGAUGACUUAGAUUCAGACAUCUAUAGUGAAAAUUCCAACUCCCCUUCCCUAGCUCUGUUAGUGGUUGAUCAGUAUGGUUCCAAUUUCAAGGAUGAUGAAGUGCAUGAGUCGGGAAGUCUCGAGAUGAUAAUGAACACUGCGCCAACAAAGAACCAAUCUACAAAAAAGCAGGAGAUGGACUCCAAGGGAAACGAGAUGGAAGGGUUACAGAGCUCAAAAUCAGGAUGAGAUGGACGCCCAGGCAAUGCUAGAAGCUCUAAAUUGGACAAAACAGCUUGGCUACAACAACAUGCAGAUAAAAGGGAAAACUGCCAGACUUACUAAGGCAGUUAAAGGGGACUACAACACCAUCAGCUGGACGACCUUAACUAGAAUAGAAGAAAUCAAAAAUUGUAUCGAGGAUCUACAGGAUUCGAACAAAAAUGUAGUAGUUAUUAACUGUUAUAAGGAAGCCAACAAGGCAGCUACUGCAUUAGCUAACACGGCAAAUGCAACGGUAACCUUGAAUUACUCUGGCUAUCCUCCUAGCUUUCUUUUUGAAACUCUUUCGAGUGACAGGUUCUUGGCCUUGAAAACUAUUUCAAGGACAAACGAUAUGUAUCCAAACUCCAUCUAAUCUAUUUUUCUUACCAAAAAAAAGGACACUGGCUUAACAGAUA